AAUCCUCAAAAGAUUUUAGCCAACUGAAUUCAGCAAUAUAUAAGGAUACUACAUUACGACUAGGCGUGGUUUAGCUAGGAUUGCAAGAUUGCAAUCUUGGAUUAACAUUUGAAAAUCAGUUAGCAACCUUCGUGGUGUUAGUAGGCUGAAAAAGAAAAAUCAUAUGAUCAUCUCAAUAGUUGUGUAAAAAGCAUUUGACGUAAUUUGCUACCCAUUCAAGUUAAAAGCGCUAAACAAAUUAGGAAUAGAAGAGCAUCUAUGAAAAACCUGCAGUUAUAAUGCUUAAUGGUGAGACUCAAUACUUUCCCCUUAAGACAGGAAACACAGCAAGUAUGUCCACUUCAACACAUCUAUUCAACAUUGUACUAAACGUCCUAGCCACAACAAUAAGAUGAUAAAAAUAAAUUAAAAGAAUAUAGUUUUAAAAGAAAGAAGUAAACCUGUCAUUAUCUAUAGGCAACAUGAUAUUCUGUGUAGGAAAUCCUAAGUAAUCUACAAAAAAGCUAGUAGAUCUAGUAAGUGAAUUUAACAAAAUUGAAGGAUACAAGGUAAACGUACAAAAAUUAUUGCAUUUCUAUAUAGUAGCUAUCACAAAUUGGAAACAGAAAUUUAAAAAUAUGUAUCAUUUACUGCAACUUUCCUAUAAAUUUAUAACUAUUCAAAAAUUAAAAGUUUAUGAAAAAUCCACCAUUUAAAAUAGCAUCACAAAUAUAAAACACUUAGAAUACCCUCCAUAUGGUGAAAAGAGAGUGAGUUAGCUCUCUGGUCUCUUUUUAUAAGGGCACUAGUUCCAACCAUGAGGGUUCCACCCUCAUAACCUAAUCACCUCCCAAAUGCCCUGCCUCCAAAUACCAUCACACUGGGGACUAGAGUCAACUUGUGAUUUUUGAUAUUAGUUUCCUAUGGGUGCUGUAAAAAACUACCACAAAAUUGGUGACUUAAAAUGGCACACAUUUAUUAUCCUGAGGCCAGAGGUCCAAAAAGGGUUUCAAUGGGCUAAAAUCAAGAUGUCAGCAGGACCUACUCCUUCUGGAGACUCUAUGGGAGAAUCUAUUACUUGUUUUUUUCCAGUUUCCAGAGCUGUAUUCCCUUGGCUCAUGGCCCCUUUCUCUAUCAUCAAAACCAGC
rnacentral:lncRNA from 1 species